CUUUCAGGUGCAACUUUCAAUACAUUUAACCCGUUACCCCGAAAAAACCCCAAAAAGCCACCUUCCUUCCAUAUUUUUUUUACUGCAGGAAUAAUAGCAGCAUGAUCAGUUUGUACCUGUAACACCACCUUUAGGCGAUCAAGAGGUGCAGUUGCAGUACGAGAUGCAGCUCCUGCAACUGCACCUGCAAUCAGAUAUUUGGUUGCAUGAACAUGCUUGCUGAUGCCUUCGGGAAUCACGGCCUGUUCACCAAUAUCUACAAGAUAUACCCUAUGCAAGUAGCGAUAUAUGUUUUCUAUAGUAGCAUCGUGAGGAUAAAGCAGAAGAAAAUCUCUCCAUUCUUCAAAGGUUAUAAUUCCAUUAUUGUCUUUAUCAACAUGCUCAACAAAAUGAGCAAGUUCAUCGUCAUUCAUUUCUAUCCCUGCAAAAAGAAACUGCCAUAGCUUAUAAGAUGAAGACAACUGAUAUACUGGAAAAUUCAUCACUGGGAAUAAAAUAAAACUCCAAUGACUUCAUAAUGUUCUUGAGUGAGGAAAUCAACAGAGAUAGCUGCCCCCACAAAAAUAAGCAAAUACCCAAGCAGAGUUCUAAUUUAAAUUUGUAUUGCAAAACUAUAAAAGAAAAGUAUGUCAGUUACAUACGCUGGGAGGAGGAAAAAAAGAAAAAAAAACCAAAAACAAAGUAAAUAAAUAAUAAGUGUUUUAAUCAGGAAAAAAUUCCACGCUAAAGGAGAAAAUUAUUUUAAUAUCAUGGCAGAAAUAAGAUAUAUAAGUCCUAAUUUCAAACGAAGAAGCACAGAGAGAUAACUGGAUACAACAAUUCCAGAAAAGGUGGAAUAUGACAUGCAAG
rnacentral:lncRNA from 1 species